UACGUAGGGGGCUAGCGUUGCCCGGAAUCACUGGGCGUAAAGGGUGCGUAGGCGGGUCUUUAAGUUAGGGGGGAAAUCCUGGAGCUCAACUCCAGAACUGCCUUUGAUACUGAAGAUCUUGAGUGCGGGAGAGGUGAGUGGAACUGCGAGUGUAGAGGUGAAAUUCGUAGAUAUUCGCAAGAACACCAGUGGCGAAGGCGGCUCACUGGCCCGAUACUGACGCUGAGGCACGAAAGCGUGGGGAGCAAACAGG
rnacentral:rRNA from 1 species